rnacentral:tmRNA from 1 species
GCCGGGUUCGCCCGGCUAUGGUGAUAAAUCGUGUCGUGCAAUAGGCACAGCGGACCCGGGGGCGGUACCCGGCGGCUCCACCA